UACGGAGGAUGCGAGCGUUAUCCGGAAUUACUGGGCGUAAAGGGUGCGUAGGUGGUUUCUUAAGUCAGAGGUGAAAGGCUACGGCUCAACCGUAGUAAGCCUUUGAAACUGGGGAACUUGAGUGCAGGAGAGGAGAAUGGAAUUCCUAGUGUAGCGGUGAAAUACGUAGAGAUUAGGAAGAACACCAGUGGCGAAGGCGAUUCUCUGGACUGUAACUGACGCUGAGGCUCGAAAGCGUGGGGAGCAAACAGG
rnacentral:rRNA from 1 species